rnacentral:rRNA from 1 species
AUACGGGGGGGACAAGCGUUGUUCGGAUUUACUGGGCGUAAAGGGCGCGUAGGCGGGCCUUCAAGUCGGGUGUGAAAACUGGCGGCUUAACCACCAGCUUGCACUCGAUACUGUCGGUCUUGAGUACAGGAGAGGAGAGCGGAAUUCCAGGUGUAGCGGUGAAAUGCGUAGAUAUCUGGAAGAACACCAGUAGCGAAGGCGGCUCUCUGGCCUGAUACUGACGCUGAAGCGCGAAGGCAUGGGUAGC